GACAGAGGGUGCAAACGUUGUUCGGAAUUACUGGGCGUAAAGCGCGUGUAGGCGGCCAACUAAGUCGGGCGUGAAAUCCCACGGCUCAACCGUGGAAGUGCACUCGAAACUGGAUGGCUAGAGUCCUGGAGAGGAAGGUGGAAUGCUUGGUGUAGAGGUGAAAUUCGUAGAUAUCAAGCGGAACACCGGUGGCGAAGGCGGCCUUCUGGACAGUGACUGACGCUG
rnacentral:rRNA from 1 species